rnacentral:rRNA from 1 species
GUGCACCAGUCGCGAAACCUCCGCAAUGCGGGAAACCGCGACGGGGACCCGAGUGCCGUGGCAACGCCACGGCUUUUCCGGAGUGUAAAAGCUCCGGGAAUAAGGGCUGGGCAAGGCCGGUGGCAGCCGCCGCGGUAAUACCGGCGGCCCGAGUGGUGGCCGCUAUUAUUGGGCCUAAAGCGUCCGUAGCCGGGCCCGUAAGUCCCUGGCGAAAUCCCACGGCUCAACCGUGGGGCUUGCUGGGGAUACUGCGGGUCUUGGGACCGGGAGAGGCGGGGGGUACCCCUGGGGUAGGGGUGAAAUCCUAUAAUCCCAGGGGGACCGCCAGUGGCGAAGGCGCCCCGCUGGAACGGGUCCGACGGUGAGGGACGAAGGCCAGGGGAGC